AAAACACAAACGGCUGAAACCAGCUCUUUUCCCAAAAAAAAAAAGAUUCUGAAGAAAACUUUUGAGCUUCUUUCUAUUUUUUGGGGUUUUGCUGAGAGUUUUUCAGAGAUUGGAACAACGUUUUUGGGGCUUGAUUCACUGUUUGUUUGCUAUGUUUGAGCUAGAAAACUGCAGGCUGCUUUGUUUCUUAGGCUAUUUUCCAUUUGCUAGUUUGCAGAUCUGACCAAUAUUUGGAUAGAUUGGUAGGCUAUAAAGCUGAGGAAAGAGUUUAAAGUUUGCUGGAAAAGGCUUUGAAAGCUGAAGAUUUAAUUAGACCAUGUAUAAGUUUAAUCUAUCAUUUGAUUUCAUAUACGUUAGAAAGUCACCGAUUUCCUUUUGUACAUUAGUUUUGUUAUUUAAGUACCAUAAGUCUGAUUAUUUGUAUAAGGAAUCUUGAAUCCAUUUAUUGUAUUGGAUUUGUUUGAAGUUAGCCAUCAGCCCCGUAAAGGUUACUAGCUGAAUGUUUGAGGGUAAUUUUUAUAUACAGUAUAAAGCCUGAAUAUUAAGAUUUUUUUUUUUUUUUUUUUUUUUU